CGAUGUUGGCCUCCAUCUUGAGCUGCUCCACCAGCUUCCUGGCUUGUGCGAUGCUGGCCGUGUUAUUGCUCGCCAUGGGCACGGUCUGCACGGGAGACAACGGGAUCACGUGACUGCACCGCCGUCAUACGUCGCGUACGUUGCUCCUCAAGUCUUAGAAGCUGACGGAUUAGCUGACAGCAGUGUGAAGAUGGCGCGCGGACCCCCGUGACCCGACGCCAUCGCCCCCCUGCCGACCGUCCUUCCUCCGCAGCGGCAUGACUCGGUGUGGGCUUACGAUUGAUCUCUGUUGGUGCGCUGCGGGUUAAUAAUGAUGGAUGAUAGACACACACACACGCACGCACACACGCCUUCUCAGCAGGUCAAUAAAUAUGCCACACUUGCUGCAAGUUGGUAAAUGACCGUUUUAUCACCCCCUUGACACAAAUAAACACAUUUACAGUGAACUCCCGCCUAUUCAUGUUUUCGCUCUUCACGAAUCCACGAUCGCGUAAUCGAUUAUUCGGAAUAGUGCG